rnacentral:rRNA from 1 species
UCGGGAAUAUUGGACAAUGGGCGAAAGCCUGAUCCAGCAAUGCCGCGUGAGUGAUGAAGGCCUUAGGGUUGUAAAGCUCUUUUACCAGGGAUGAUAAUGACAGUACCUGGAGAAUAAGCUCCGGCUAACUCCGUGCCAGCAGCCGCGGUAAUACGGAGGGAGCUAGCGUUGUUCGGAAUUACUGGGCGUAAAGCGUACGUAGGCGGUGACUCAAGUCAGAGGUGAAAGCCUGGAGCUCAACUCCAGAACUGCCUUUGAAACUAGGUCGCUAGAAUCACGGAGAGGUGAGUGGAAUUCCGAGUGUAGAGGUGAAAUUCGUAGAUAUUCGGAAGAACACCAGUGGCGAAGGCGGCUCACUGGACGUGUAUUGACGCUGAGGUACGAAAGCGUGGGGAGCAAACAGGAUUAGAUACCCCAGUAGUCCCUGAGCGGGCUGGCAAGGCGCAU